rnacentral:rRNA from 1 species
UACGAAGGGGGUUAGCGUUGUUCGGAUUUACUGGGCGUAAAGCGCGUGUAGGCGGGCCGUUAAGUUGGGGGUGAAAGCCCGAGGCUCAACCUCGGAACUGCCCUCAAAACUGGCGGCCUGGAGCAGAUGAGAGGCGAGUGGAAUUCCGAGUGUAGAGGUGAAAUUCGUAGAUAUUCGGAGGAACACCAGUGGCGAAGGCGACUCGCUGGCAUCUUGCUGACGCUGAGACGCGAAAGCGUGGGGAGCAAACAGG